rnacentral:rRNA from 1 species
GGCGCACGGGUGCGUAACGCGUAUACAAUCUACCUUUUACAGAGGGAUAGCCCAGAGAAAUUUGGAUUAAUACCUCAUAGUAUUUUCGAAUCGCAUGAUUUGAUUAUUAAAGUUCCAACGGUAAAAGAUGAGUAUGCGUCCCAUUAGCUAGAUGGUAAGGUAACGGCUUACCAUGGCUACGAUGGGUAGGGGUCCUGAGAGGGAGAUCCCCCACACUGGUACUGAGACACGGACCAGACUCCUACGGGAGGCAGCAGUGAGGAAUAUUGGACAAUGGGCGCAAGCCUGAUCCAGCCAUGCCGCGUGCAGGAAGAAGGUCCUUGGAUUGUAAACUGCUUUUAUACAGGAAGAAACACCUCUACGUGUAGAGACUUGACGGUACUGUAUGAAUAAGGGCCGGCUAACUCCGUGCCAGCAGCCGCGGUAAUACGGAGGGUCCAAGCGUUAUCCGGAAUCAUUGGGUUUAAAGGGUCCGUAGGCGGCCAAAUAAGUCAGUGGUGAAAGCCCAUCGCUCAACGAUGGAACGGCCAUUGAUACUGUUUGGCUUGAAUUAUUAGGAAGUAACUAGAAUAUGUAGUGUAGCGGUGAAAUGCUUAGAGAUUACAUGGAAUACCAAUUGCGAAGGCAGGUUACUACUAAUAUAUUGACGCUGAUGGACGAAAGCGUGGGGAGCAAACAGGAUUAGAUACCCUGGCAGUCCACGCCGUAAACGAUGAUUACUCGCUGCUGGCGAUAUACAGUCAGUGGCCAAGCGAAAGCAUUAAGUAAUCCACCUGGGGAGUACGCCGGCAACGGUGAAACUCAAAGGAAUUGACGGGGGCCCGCACAAG